AUUGAACGCUGGCGGCAGGCUUAACACAUGCAAGUCGAGCGGAGAUGAGGUGCUUGCACCUUAUCUUAGCGGCGGACGGGUGAGUAAUGCUUAGGAAUCUGCCUAUUAGUGGGGGACAACAUUCCGAAAGGAAUGCUAAUACCGCAUACGCCCUACGGGGGAAAGCAGGGGAUCUUCGGACCUUGUGCUAAUAGAUGAGCCUAAGUCGGAUUAGCUAGUUGGUGGGGUAAAGGCCUACCAAGGCGACGAUCUGUAGCGGGUCUGAGAGGAUGAGCCGCCACACUGGGACUGAGACACGGCCCAGACUCCUACGGGAGGUAGCAGUGGGGAAUAUUGGACAAUGGGCGGAAGCCUGAUCCAGCCAUGCCGCGUGUGUGAAGAAGGCCUUUUGGUUGUAAAGCACUUUAAGCGAGGAGGAGGCUACCUGGAUUAAUACUCUAGGAUAGUGGACGUUACUCGCAGAAUAAGCACCGGCUAACUCUGUGCCAGCCGCCGCAGUAACAC
rnacentral:rRNA from 1 species